rnacentral:RNase_P_RNA from 1 species
GGAGUACGCCGGGUGACCGGGGCGCCAUAAAACGGCGCUCAGGAAAGUCCGGGCUUCAUAGGGCAGGGUGCAGGAUAACGUCCUGUCGAGGUGACUCGAAGGAAAGUGCCACAGAAACAUACCGCCUCAGAAGUAUUGCAAAGUGGUUUGGGGGCCCCGGCGGCUUUGCCGCUGGGGGGCGUGCAGGCGCGAAGCGCCGUAACGCCUUUAAAAGAAACGGGGUCCCCAAAAUGCAUUUGCAUUUUGGGGUAAGGGUGAAAUCGUGAGGUAAGAGCUCACGGAGCGCUGCGGUGACGCGGGCUCGGGUAAACCCCACCUGAAGCAAGACCGCUCGAACGAACGGAUGGCCCGUCCAACGAGCAACGUCGCACCGAGGCGCUCGGCAACGCGCGCCCCAGAGAGAUGGUCAUCGCCCACGUAGGUGGGUACAGAAUCCGGCUUACAGGCGUACUCCGCUG